AUUGAACGCUGGCGGCAUGCCUUACACAUGCAAGUCGAACGGUAACAGGUCUUCGGAUGCUGACGAGUGGCGAACGGGUGAGUAAUAUAUCGGAACGUGCCCAGUCGUGGGGGAUAACGCAGUGAAAGCUGUGCUAAUACCGCAUACGAUCUAUGGAUGAAAGCGGGGGAUCGCAAGACCUCGCGCGAUUGGAGCGGCCGAUAUCAGAUUAGGUAGUUGGUAGGGUAAAAGCCUACCAAGCCAACGAUCUGUAGCUGGUCUGAGAGGACGACCAGCCACACUGGAACUGAGACACGGUCCAGACUCCUACGGGAGGCAGCAGUGAGGAAUUUUGGACAAUGGGCGCAAGCCUGAUCCAGCAAUGCCGCGUGCAGGAUGAAGGCCUUCGGGUUGUAAACUGCUUUUGUACGGAACGAAAAAGUCUGCCCUAAUACGGCGGGCCCAUGACGGUACCGUAAGAAUAAGCACCGGCUAACUACGUGCCAGCAGCCGCGGUAAUACGUAGGGUGCGAGCGUUAAUCGGAAUUACUGGGCGUAAAGCGUGCGCAGGCGGUUAUAUAAGUCAGAUGUGAAAUCCCCGGGCUCAACCUGGGAUCUGCAUUUGAGACUGUAUAGCUAGAGUACGGUAGAGGGGGAUGGAAUUCCGCGUGUAGCAGUGAAAUGCGUAGAUAUGCGGAGGAACACCGAUGGCGAAGGCAAUCCCCUGGACCUGUACUGACGCUCAUGCACGAAAGCGUGGGGAGCAAACA
rnacentral:rRNA from 1 species